rnacentral:rRNA from 1 species
UACGGGGGGGGCAAGCGUUGUUCGGAAUUACUGGGCGUAAAGGGCUCGUAGGCGGCCAACUAAGUCGGACGUGAAAUCCCCAGGCUCAACCUGGGAACUGCGUCUGAUACUGGAUGGCUUGAAUCCGGGAGAGGGAUGCAGAAUUCCAGGUGUAGCGGUGAAAUGCGUAGAUAUCUGGAGGAAUACCGGUGGCGAAGGCGGCUACCUGGACCGGUUCUGACGCUGAUGCGCGAAAGCGUGGGUAGCAAACAGG